AGUCUAGCAUGUGCGCGAGUCAUUGGGACUCAAUAAACCUAAAGGCGCAAUGAAAGUGAAAGUCUGUUUACGCGGACUUAGGGAAGAUAGGUGCGUACACUUCGGUGUACAACCUCGCACUCCCGGGGCGUCUCGCACUCAUUGCGAGGUGGGGCGCACCAAGAGCGUACACGCUGGGACCCGAAAGAUGGUGAACUAUGCCUGGUCAGGACGAAGUCAGGGGAAACCCUGAUGGAGGUCCGUAGCGAUUCUGACGUGCAAAUCGAUCGUCGGAACUGGGCUUAGGGGCGAAAGACUAAUCGAACCAUCUAGUAGCUGGUUCCCACCGAAGUUUCCCUCAGGAUAGCUGGCACUAGAUUAUGGAUGAGUCUCAUCCGGUAAAGCGAAUGAUUAGAGGCAUUGGGGUCGAAACGGCCUCAACCUAUUCUCAAACUUUAAAUGGGUGAGAUCUCCGGCUUGCUCGAUUUGUGAAGCCGGAGAUCGGAUCAAUUAGUGCCAAGUGGGCCACUUUUGGUAAGCAGAACUGGCGCUGUGGGAUGAACCAAACGCAGAGUUAAAGCGCCAAAAUCGACGCUUAUGGGAUACCAUGAAAGGCGUUGGUAACUUAAGACAGCAGGACGGUGGCCAUGGAAGUCGGAA
rnacentral:rRNA from 1 species